rnacentral:rRNA from 1 species
GCUCCAAUAGCGUAUACUAAAGUUGUUGCAGUUAAAAAGCUCGUAGUUGGAUUUCUGGCGGGGACGGGCUCCUGGGCUUCACUGUCCGGGACUCGGAGUCGGCGAGGUUACUUUGAGUAAAUUAGAGUGUUCAAGCAGGCCACCGCUCUGAAUACAUUAGCAUGGAAUAACACGAUAGGACUCUGGCCUAUCUUGUUGGU